AAACAACUAGCUGAUCCCUUAUUUUUAAAAUUACAUACAGGGUCCCUGUAAUUUUAUAUAUGGUUACAAUUUAAUCCUUUUUGUAAUUGCUCGUUGCAAUUCCUAAUUUUAUUGCUAACAAGUAUUCAAGAACACGAGAUCUCUUGGAGGGAUGGAGAGUAAGGCAGCAAAAAGAGGAGAGUGUGAUUUGCAGCAAAGCAUAAUCGGUGGUGGGCUGCAAAGUAAGAGUGAGGAAAUGAGAGGAGUAAGCUUGGAAGGAGAGAAGGUGAUACUUGUGCCCUACAUGGAGGCCCACGUCCCAAAGUAUCACCACUGGAUGCAAGACCCCUUUCUUCUCCAAGCCACCGGCUCUGAGCUCUUAUCCCUUCAAGACGAGUAUCAGAUGCAGCUCUCUUGGACCCAAGACCCCCUCAAAAGGACUUUUAUUGUACUGGAUAAGGAAAUGAUACAAGCUGGUUUUGUUCAUGGAGAUCCUCAUGUCGAAGCUAUGGUAGGCGAUGUAAAUAUAUUCAUGAAUGAUGUGGAUGAUCCUCAAGUGGCCGAGAUCGAGAUAAUGAUAGCUGAACCAAAGAGUCGUGGAAAAGGACUCGGGAAGGAAUCUGUGUUGAUGAUGAUGGCCUAUGCUGUUCGGGACCUUGGGAUCCAUGUAUUCCGUGCUAAAAUUGGAGAAUCAAAUGGAUCAUCUCUUAAUAUGUUUUGUAAUUUGGGUUUUCAGGAGACUUCUCGCAGUGAAAUCUUCAAAGAGGUGACACUGGAAUUACCAAUGACACAGCCUAAGUGUGAGGAAUUACUGAAAUUGAUUGAUAAUGUGGUUACACAUGUGUAACCACACACGAGUAGUUUUCAAAAAUUGUCCAACUGUCAUAUUGUAUUACUACUGUGUAGAACUUUAACUAGUAUUCAGAGAAUUGUAGAGUACUUGGAAAACGGAAGCGUUCAUGAUACUUGGAAUAGUGAACCUACUAGGAUUUGCCAGAUACAUGAUUUCACUAUUUAUUAUGCAGAGACGAAGACCUGAAAACAUGUGCUCAUAAUGACAGUGCGAUGGAAUAAAUGACUAAAUCUGGAAACCUGCAGAUGUACUUGGACUAGUUGAACACAGGGAGGCUAGAAUACACAGGUGUUUCAAGCUUCCCCCUCCAAUAUUUUCUUCUAUCCUGAAAAAAAAUUUAAUGUCCCCAUUGAUUGAAUAUUUGGUCCUGUUGUAGCAUGACUCGAAGGGAUGUCAUUUAUAACUGAAUUCCCAGCUUGCCAGACAUGAUUAACAGCAGUUCCAUUUUGUAGAGGGCCCAGCACAGCGAAGAUACUCAUCUGAUUAUCUGCAUAUGUUGCAGAGAUGUUUGACACGUGAAAGCUGAGAGCUCCUGGUCGCAUUGAUGUGGUAUAACUAGUUAUUGGGGUUGGAUAGGCAGUCAAGCUCCCAUUAGAAUUAUGAAAGGCAACAAGAGCUUGUGAUCCAACCAUGCCUGCACCAUUUGGAUUGAUUGCCCAUGCAAUCCAUCCUGUAGAAGUUUGGUUGGCUCUAUAUGCUAUGUGAACAGUUCUGGUGGAUGGAAUGUAGUUCCAAUGGAGAUUGGCCUGUAGGAAAGGGAGGUCGAUGCAAGAAUUGAAUGCUUGAUUACCUGGAAAGGUGUAUUUUGAGCAUGAUUGAGCAGAAGAAAUGAGGACUAAGGAGAGAAGUAUGCUAAUAAACAAUGCAGGUGUUGAGGUAAUAGCCAUGAAGAUGUUGAAUGUCCAAAGACUCUUGUGUUGAGGUUUAUAAUUAAUUUCAAGGGAAGAGGAUUUCACAAUUUCUAAUUGUACUGUGGUCUCACAGAUAUUUCACAGAAAAGUUAAGAAGAAGGAAAUCCAGUUUGGCAAGCUGGGUUUGUGUUUUCUUGCAGACGAUCCGCGAACUAUCCACCCUUUCGGUUCUAGGCAGUGACCCUCUAGUAUGAAUCUAGUGGUCUAAAAUUGCACCAGUGGCUGAGAUGCAGUCAGCGAGAAGAAGAUACAGUCGGAAGUUCAGAACAAGUAUUUUCAGGAGGUGGAUUGUUAUGGAUUACAAGAGCCUUAAUUGGUUGGCUGGAAUGAGUCUGGCUGUGAUCCAAUUUAUAAGUAAAGCUGGAGAAGUUUAAGUCAAGAGUUGUUGACAGGUUACGUAUGUUGUUUCUGAACAACACACAAAUCUUGAGAAGACUAAAGAAAUCAGGGUUAGAGUCAUGCAAGUUUUAUUUCUUCUUGCAUGACAAUAUUUCCUUGCGUCUGUUCUGCAACAGUCCGAUUUCCAACCUAAUUAAUGGUUAGUACUAAUUCAACAAGACCUAGCCUAUAAAAGUGGACCCUUUCUGAUAAACAGACCAGAAAUAGACAGGAAACUUGUUGCUGAGUGGUGAUAAUAUGUACAAGACAGGAACAUUACAAACUUCUAGAUUAUCCUGAAUGGAUCAUAUAUCCUUGCAGAAAAAAAUUCCUUCCCAUUAUUGAAACUCGUUCUUCGCUUUGCCAAGUUAGAAGGGUAGAGGGUAGGAAGAAACUAAGAGAGUAGGUUUGAUUGAGGAGUUUUGUGUUCCCGUUAACGUCUGCGCAUGGAGGAGCAAAGUCGUCAGAUGUUAUUUUCUGUCAAGAAAAUGUAAUGGCUGGAAAGGUUAAGUCACUUGGAGGCGCCGAAAAAGUAGGUGUGGCAUGUUUGAAAUUCUCCAAUAGCCAGGCAGGUAAUUUUUUCACCAACGGCGGAGUCAAAUUAACCACAUUGAUCAAGUAUCCGGGGCUUGGCUUAUCCCAUUUGACAUUGCAGUCAUUUGACAUUGCAGCAAUGGAUUCUUGGAAAUAUACAAGAAUAAUAUUUUUUUAUUUUUUUAAA